GCGGGUGAGCUGGCCGGAAGCAGGGGACGCAGGGGUGGCUGCGGCUUCUUCUUCCUCUCGUGUUUUCCUUUUCCUUUUUUUUUUUUUUUUAACGAAAUGGGGGCAGCGAGGAGGUCGAGCUGUGGUCGAAGGUCGCUGGCCGGGGAAACAGCAACAACGGUGAAGAAAGAGUUGCCUUGUAGUGGUGGUGGGGAAGAAGGGAAGCAAGGCUGCGGCAGGCUGCGCCAA
rnacentral:lncRNA from 1 species